rnacentral:rRNA from 1 species
AUUACCGCGGCUGCUGGCACGGAGUUAGCCGAUCCUUAUUCCUACAGUACCGUCAAGCUCCCACACGUAGGAGGGUUUCUUCCUGUAUAAAAGCAGUUUACAAUCCAUAGGACCGUCUUCCUGCACGCGGCAUGGCUGGUUCAGUCUUGCGACCAUUGACCAAUAUUCCUCACUGCUGCCUCCCGUAGG